rnacentral:sRNA from 1 species
CUCAUCUUAAUUUUUAAGACCUGAUGUCCUGAAGAUCUUCACUCUCUGCUGUUUGUCGUCAUUAAGUGAUUCUCUACACUGGCUUAAACGUGCGAUUUGCAUACACUAUUUUUAUCUUUAGGAGACAUCAUGUCUAAAUCAACUGGUACUGUUAAAUGGUUCAACGCCGAUAAAGGCUUUGGUUUUAUCACUCAAGCCGACGGCGGCGAAGACGUUUUCGUUCAUUUCCGCGCCAUUGCCAGCGAAGGCUAUAAGAGCCUGGACGAAGGCCAAAGCGUUUCAUUUGAAAUCGAACGCGGCCAAAAAGGCCUGCAAGCUGCCAACGUUACCCCGCUGUAACCCGGCUUUACCGCUUGUAAGAGAAAGGGCGCCAUCGGCGCCCUUUUUUAU